rnacentral:sRNA from 1 species
GUUCAUUUGCUCGCGUGCGGGGGAAGUCUGGAGAAGACAUUGUUUCAAUUAUUAAAAGUGUGGGGGCAGUGGGCGGAACAAACGCGCAGACUACAGAGGCUGGACGUAAGCUUAGCGGUGGCGCGCGUGCGCAGCGCCUGCCCGAGUUGCCAAAACAAAGGGGAUUUGGUGAUGGAGGCUUUGUUAGAAGGAAUACAAAAUCGAGGCCAUGGUGGGGGAUUUUUGACAUCUUGUGAAGCAGAACUACAGGAGCUCAUGAAACAGAUUGACAUAAUGGUGGCUCAUAAAAAAUCUGAAUGGGAAGGACGUACACAUGCUCUAGAAACUUGCUUGAAAAUCCGUGAACAGGAACUUAAGAGUCUUAGGAGUCAGUUGGAUGUGACACAUAAAGAGGUUGGAAUGUUGCAUCAGCAGGUAGAAGAACAUGAAAAAAUCAAGCAAGAGAUGACCAUGGAGUAUAAGCAGGAGUUGAAGAAACUACAUGAAGAAAAAUAACUGUUUCUACAGUUAGGCAUACUGAAGAGAAGCUAUGAAAAGCUUCAGAAAAAGCAAAU